rnacentral:rRNA from 1 species
AAUGAACGCUGGCGGCGCGCCUAAUACAUGCAAGUCGAGCGAGAAGACGUAGCAAUACGUUUGUAAAGCGGCGAACGGGUGAGGAAUACAUGGGUAACCUACCCUAGAGUGGGGAAUAACUAGCCGAAAGGUUAGCUAAUACCGCGUACGCUCCUUGGACUUCGGUUCAGGGAGGAAAGCGAUACCGUGGGUAUCGCGCUCUUGGAUGGGCUCAUGUCCUAUCAGCUUGUUGGGAGGUAACGGCUCACCAAGGCUUCGACGGGUAGCUGGUCUGAGAGGACGAUCAGCCACACUGGCACUGCGACACGGGCCAGACUCCUACGGGAGGCAGCAGUAAGGAAUAUUGCGCAAUGGGCGAAAGCCUGACGCAGCGACGCCGCGUGGGGGA